ensembl:lncRNA
UGGGUGUGAGUGUGAGUAUGUGCGUGGGUGUGGGUGAGUGAGUGUGAGUGAGUGAGUGUGUGAGUGGGUGUGAGGGUGAGUGGGUGUGAGUAGCAGUGUGUCUGUGUGUGAGUGUGAGUGGGUGUGUGUGAGGGUGAGUGUGUGUGAGUGGGUGAGUGGGUGUCAGUGUGAGUGUGAGUGGGUGUGUUAGUGGGUGUGUGAGUGUCAGUGUGUAUGUGAGAGGGUGUGAGUGUGAGUGAGUGGGUGAGUGUGAGUGUGUCUGUAUGUGAGUGUGAGUGGGUGUGUGUGAGGGUGAGUUUGUGAGUGGGUGUGUGUGGGUGUGAGUGGGUGUCAGUGUGAGUGUGUGAGUGGGUGUGUGAGUGUCAGCGUGAGUGGGUGUGACAGCGUGAGGGUGAGUGGGUGUGAGGGUGAGUGGGUGUGAGAAUGUCAGCGUGAGUGGGUGUGAGAGUGUGAGUGUGAGUGGGUGAGUGUGAGUGAGUGUGGGUGUCAGUGUGAGUGUGUGAGUGGCUGUGAGGGUGAGUGGGUGUGAGUGUGAGUGGGUGUGUGUGAGUGAGUGAGUGGGUGUGUCUGUGUGUGAGUGUGAGUGAGUGGGUGCGUGUGAGAGUGGGUGAGUGUGAGUGGGUGUGGGUGUCAGUGUGAGUGCGUGAGUGGCUGUGAGGGUGAGUGGGUGUGUGUGUGAGUGAGUGGGUGAGUGUGAGUGUGAGUGAGUGGGUGAGUGCAUGUGAGUGGGUGUCAGUGUGAGUGGGUGUGGGAGUGUCUGUGAGUGUGAAUGGGUGUGAGUGUGUGUCUGUGCGUGUGAGUGUGUGUGAGAGUGGGUGAGUGUGAGUGUCAGUGUGAGUGUGUGAGUGGGUGUGAGGGUGAGUGGGUGUGUGUGAGUGUGAGUGGGUGUGAGUGUGUGUGAGUGGGUGUGUGUGAGUGGGUGUGGGAGUGUCAGUGUGAGUGUGAGUGGGUGAGUGUGAGAGUGUGAGUGGGUGAGUGUGAGUGUGAGUGAGUGGGUGUGUGAGUGUCAGUGUGUGUGAGAGGGUGUGAGCGUGAGUGAGUGGGUGAGUGUGAGUGAGUGUGAGUUAGUGGGUGUCAGUGUGAGUGGGUGUGAGUGUGAGUGGGUGUGAGUGUGGGUGUGUGAGUGGGUGUGAAUGGGUGAGUGUGAGUGGGUGUCAAUGUGAGUGUGAGAGAGGGUGAGUGUGAUUGAGGGUGAGUGUGAGUGAGUGUGAAUGUGAGUGAGGGUGUUUGUGAGUGUGUGAGUGGGUGUGAGGGUGAGUGAGUGUGAGAGUGUGAGUGUGAGAGUGUGAGUGGGUGAGUGUGAGUGUGAGUGAAUGGGUGAGUGCGUGUGAGUGUGAGUGGGUGUGGGAGUGUCACUGUGAGUGUGAAUGGGUGUGUGUGUGAGUGGGUGAGUGUGAGAGUGUGCGUGAGUGUGAGUGGGUGUGUGUGAGAGUGGGUGAGUGUGAGUGUCAGUGUGAGUGUGUGAGUGGGUGUGAGGGUGAGUGGGUGUGAAUCAGUGUGAGCGUGAGUGGGUCUGUGUGUGAGUGUGACUGGAUGUGUGUGAGAGUGGGUGAGUGUGAGUGGGUGUGAGUGGGUGAGUGUGCGUGUGAGUGGGUGUCGGUGUGAGUGUGUGAGUGUGUGUUGGAGUAUCAGUGUGAGUGUGAGUGGGUGUGAGUGUGAGUGGGUGGGUGUGUGUGAGCGGGUCUGAGUGGGUGUGAGUGGGUGAGUGCGAGUGCGAGUGGGUGUGAGUGGGUGUGAGUAUGUAUGUGUGUGCAUGGGGCUGUGAGUGUGAGUGUGCAAGGCGCUGUGAGUGUGCAUGGGGCUCUGAAUGUGUGUGUGCAUGGGGCUGUGAGUGUGUAUGGGGCUGUGAGUGUGCAUGGGGUUGUGAGUGUGCAAAGUGUGCAAGGGGCUGUGAGUGUGAGUGUGCAAGGGGCUGGGGCUGUGAGUGUGCAAGGGGCUGUGAGUGUGUGUGUAUGGGGCUGUGAGUGUGCAAAGUGUGCAAGUGGCUGUGAGUGCGCACGGGGCUGUGAGUGUGCAAUGUGUACAUGGCGUUGUGAGUGUGAGUGUGCAUGGGGCUGUGAGUGUGCAAAAUGUGCAAGGGGCUGUGAGUGUGAGUGUGCAUGGGGCUGUGAGUGUACAAGGGACUGUGAGUGUGAGUGUGGAAGGGGCUGUGAGUGUGCAUGGGGCAGUGAGUGUGAGUGUGCAUGGGGCAGUGAGUGUGCAUGGCGCUGUGAGUGUGAGUGUGCCUGGGGCUGUGAGUGUGCAUGGGGCUGUGAGUGUGAGUGUGCACGGCACUGUGAGUGUGCAAAGUGUGCAAGGGGCUGUGAGUGUGCAUGGGGCUGUGAGUGUGCAAUGUGUGCAAGGGGUUGUGAGUGUGAGUGUGCAAGGGGCUGGGAGUUUGCAAAGUGUGCAAGGGGCUAUGAGUGUGCAUGGGCCUGAGUGUGAGUGUGCAAGGGGCUGUGAGUGUGGAAGGGGCUGUGAGUGUGCAUGGGGCAGUGAGUGUGCAAUGUGUGCAUGGGGUUGUGAGUGUGAGUGUGCAAGGGGCUGUGAGUGUGCAUGGGGCAGUGAGUGUGCAAUGUGUGCAUGGGGUUGUGAGUGUGAGUGUGCAAGGGGCUGGGAGUGUGAGAGUGGGGCUGUGAGUGUGCAAUGUGUGCAUGGGGCUGUGAGUGUGCAUGGGGCUGUGAGUGUGCAAUGUGUGCAAGGGGCUGUGAGUGUGUGAGGGGCUAUGAGUGUGCAUGGGGCUGUGAGUGUGAGUGUGCAUGGGGUUGUGAGUGUGCAAGGGGCAGUGAGUGUGCAUGGGGCAGUGAGUGUGCAAGAGUGAGUGUGCAAGGGGCUGUGAGUGUGAGAGUGGGGCUGUGAGUGUGCAAGGGUCUGUGAGUGUGCAUGGGGCUGUGAGUGUGAGUGUGCAAGCAGCUGUGAGAGUGCACGGGGCAUGCAUGGUGCAGGUGCUGCAUGCAUGGGGCUGCGUGUGCAUGCACGGUGCAGGUGCUGCGUGCACAAUGCAGGUGCUGUGUGCAACACACUGUGCAUGCACGGUGCAGGUGUUGCAUGCAUGGGGCUGUGUGUGCAUGCACAGUGCAGGUGCUGUGUGCACAUGAGGCUGUGUGUGCAUGCACGGCGCAGGUGCUGCAUGUGCAUGCACGGUGCAGGUGCUGUGUGCAUGGUGUUGCGUGUGCAUGCAUGGUGCAAGUGCUGCAUGCAUGGGGCUGUGUGCGCAUGCACGGUGCAGGUGCUGUGUGCAACACACCGUGCAUGCAUGUCGCAGUUGCUGCGUGCAUGGAGCUCCGUGUGCAUGCACGGUGUGUGUGCUGCAUGCAUGGGGCUCUGUGUGCAUGCACGGUGUGGGUGCUGCGUGCAGUGCAGGUGCAGGGAGCGGUGCAGCUGUGCAUGCACGGUGUGGGUGCUGCGUUCAUAGGGCUCCAUGUGCAUGUACGGCGUGGGUGCUGCGUGCAGUGCAGUUGCAGUGAGCAGUGCAGGUGUGCAUGCAUGGCGUGGGUGCUGCAUGCAUGGGGCUUUGUGUGCAUGCAUGCUGUGGGUGGUGCAUUACAGUGCAGGUGCAGUGAGCGGUGCAGGUGUGCAUGCACGGUGUGGAUGCUGCAUGCAGUGCAGGUGCAGUGAGCGGUGCAGGUGUGCAUGCAUGGCCUGUGUGCUGCAUGCAUGGGGCUUUGUGUGCAUGCAUGGUGUGGGUGCUGCGUGCAGUGCGGGUACAGUGAGUGGUGCAGGUGUGCAUGCAUGGUGUGGGUGCUGCGUGCAGUGCAGGUGCUGUGAGCGGUGCAGGUGUGCAUGCGUGGUGUGGGUGCUGCAUGCAUGGGGCUUUGUUUGCAUGCAUGGUGUGGGUGCUGCGUGCAAUGCAGGUGCAGUGACCAGUGCAGGUGUGCAUGCAUGGCCUGUGUGCUGCAUGCAUGGGGCUUUGUGUGCAUGCAUGGUGUGGGUGCUGCGUGCAGUGCGGGUACAGUGAGUGGUGCAGGUGUGCAUGCAUGGUGUGGGUGCUGCGUGCAGUGCAGGUGCUGUGAGCGGUGCAGGUGUGCAUGCGUGGUGUGGGUGCUGCAUGCAUGGGGCUUUGUUUGCAUGCAUGGUGUGGGUGCUGCGUGCAAUGCAGGUGCAGUGACCAGUGCAGGUGUGCAUGCAUGGCCUGUGUGCUGCAUGCAUGGGGCUUUGUGUGCAUGCACAGUGUGGGUGCUGAGUGCAGUGCGGGUGAAGUGAGCAGUGCAGGUGUGCAUGCAUGGCAUGGGUGCUGCAUGCAUGGGGCUUUGUGUCCAUGCACGGUGUGGGUGCUGCGUGCAGUGCAGGUGCAGUGAGCGGUGCAGGUGUGCAUUCAGGGUGUGGAUGCUGCAUGCAUGGGGCUUUGUGUGCAUGCACGGUGUGGGUGCUGCGUGCAGUGCAGGUGCAGUGAGCGGUGCAGGUGUGCAUGCACGGUGUGGGUGCUGUGAGCACACGUGCAUGUGUUGCAGAGCAGCAGCGCACACGGAAGGUUGGGGGGAGGGAAUGCAGACAGCGG